rnacentral:sRNA from 1 species
UGAAAACAAUGGAACUUGUGCAUCAUU